UACGAAGGGGCUAGCGUUGUUCGGAAUCACUGGGCGUAAAGGGCGCGUAGGCGGCCGGUCAAGUCGGGGGUGAAAGCCUGUGGCUCAACCACAGAAUGGCCUCGAUACUGGACGGCUCGAGACCGGGAAGAGGUGAGUGGAACUGCGAGUGUAGAGGUGAAAUUCGUAGAUAUUCGGAAGAACACCAGUGGCGAAGGCGGCUCACUGGUCCGGUACUGACGCUGAGGUGCGAAAGCGUGGGGAGCAAACAGGG
rnacentral:rRNA from 1 species